CCAAUAGCGUAUAUUAAAGUUGUUGCAGUUAAAAAGCUCGUAGUUGAAUUUCGGGGUUCUACCGUCGGUCGGGCUACCAAGUCUGUACUGGUGUGUAGAAUCUCUACCUUCUGGGGAACUAUCAUGUUAUUAAUUUAGCGUGGUGGGAAACCAGGACUUUUACCUUGAAAAAAUUAGAGUGUUCAAAGCAGGCUUAUGUCUGAAUACAUUAGCAUGGAAUAAUAGAAUAGGACGGUGGUCCUGUUUUGUUGGUUUCUGAAUCACCGUAAUGAUUAAUAGGGAUAGUUGGGGGCAUUAGUAUUCAAUUGUCAGAGGUGAAAUUCUUGGAUUUAUUGAAGACUAACUUCUGCGAAAGCAUUUGCCAAGGAUGUUUUCAUUAAUCAAGAACGAAAGUUAGGGGAUCGAAGACGAUCAGAUACCGUCGUAGUCUUAACCAUAAACUAUGCCGACUAGGGAUCGGACGAUGUUAAAUUUUAUUGACUCGUUCGGCGCCUUACG
rnacentral:rRNA from 1 species